rnacentral:rRNA from 1 species
GCAAGUCGAGCGGAAACGAGAAUAGCUUGCUAUUCGGCGUCGAGCGGCGGACGGGUGAGUAAUGCUUGGGAAUAUGCCUCUGAGUGGGGGACAACAGUUGGAAACGACUGCUAAUACCGCAUAACGUCUACGGACCAAAGGAGGGGAUCUUCGGACCUUUCGCCAUUUGAUUAGCCCAAGUGAGAUUAGCUAGUUGGUGAGGUAAAGGCUCACCAAGGCGACGAUCUCUAGCUGGUUUGAGAGGAUGAUC